ACACGAACCGUCCGAACGUUAUUCGGAAUCACUGGGCUUAAAGGGUGCGUAGGCGGUGCGGUAAGUUGGGUGUGAAAUCCCUCGGCUCAACCGAGGAACUGCGCCCAAUACUGCCGUACUUGAGGGAGACAGAGGUAAGCGGAACUGAUGGUGGAGCGGUGAGAUGCGUUGAUAUCAUCGGGAACACCGGUGGCGAAAGCGGCUUACUGGGUCUCUUCUGACGCUGAGGCACGAAAGCUAGGGGAGCGAACGGGAUUAGAAACCCUUGUAGUCC
rnacentral:rRNA from 1 species